UACGUAGGGAGCAAGCGUUGUCCGGAAUCAUUGGGCGUAAAGCGCGCGUAGGUGGCCCGGUAAGUCCGCCUCAUGAAAGUCACAGGCUCAACCUGUGAAAGCGGGUGGAUACUGCCGGGCUAGAGUCCGGAAGAGGCGAGUGGAAUUCCUGGUGUAGCGGUGGAAUGCGCAGAUAUCAGGAGGAACACCAACGGCGAAGGCAGCUCGCUGGGACGGUACUGACACUGAGGCGCGAAAGCGUGGGGAGCGAGCAGG
rnacentral:rRNA from 1 species